rnacentral:tRNA from 1 species
GUCCCCAUAGCUCAACUGGAUAGAGCACGCGUUUCCUAAACGUGUUAUCCCCGUUCAAGUCGGGGUGGGGAUA